ACAGAAUGGCCUAAAAGUGACUUCAAAAGAUGUAGGAAUUUUUAUUUGGUAAAAUUCAACACCUAUCAAUAGUUCAAAAAAUGGUUAGCACCAUUUUUUCAUUUUAUGAAGAGCACAUAAGAAACCCUACAGCCCACAGCAUACUUACCACUGGGAAGUAGAACACUUUCCCCUUUAGAUUAAUAGCCUACCACCACUACAUUAAUUCCGUGUUGUGUUAUAGUCAAUGAAAUAAGGCAAGAAAAAUGUGCAAAUUGGAAUAGAAGAUAAAAAACACAAUUUUUCACAGGUGACACUGUGCACGUGGGAAAACCUUAAAGAAUGUAUAAAAGACUAGCAAUGAAAAAGUGAAUUGAGGACCUGGGGAAAUGGUGUAGAAGAUGAAGCACUUGUUGUGCUAGCAUAGGACCAGAGUUUGAAUCCCCGGAGCCAUGGAGAGCCAGAUGCAGAUUUGGUAGUGUAUAUCUGUAACUCUAGGAUGCCUCUGGCAAAAACUGGUGGCAGAGACAGGAAGUCCCCAGGAGCUCAUGGACCAGCUCGCCUGGCCUAGCAUCAGUGAACAGCAAAGGGACCCUGAAUCAAAGUGGAAGGUUGUGGACUGACAUGCAAUGUUGUCCUCUGACCGCCACAACUCGCACAUGACUAUUUGCCCACAGAGACAUGCACAUACACGUGAGACAUAUACCACACAUACAUCCUAGAUACAUACAAAAAUUUAAGUGAGUUUAGGGGGAGAAGAGAUGGCUUGAUGUUUUUUAAAGAUUACAUCCAUUUAUUGUGUAUAGGUUCUCGAGGGUGCCAUGAGCAUGUGGCAGUCAGAAGACAGUUUGAGGGAAUUGGUUCUCUCCUUUCCUCACAUGAGUGCCAAGGAUCAAACUCAGUCACCAGGCUUGGGGGCAAGUAAGUGUCUUUACUCACUGAGUCAUUUCACUAUUUCCCCUACUUUUGUGGUGAGGAUCUCACUCUGUAGACCAGGCUGGCCUUGAACUCACAGAGUUCCACCUGCCUCUGCCUCCCAAGUGCUGGGAUUAAAGGCUUGUGCACCACUCUAGCCUUUCCUUGAUGUUUUUCAAUAGGCAAAUGAUCUUAAGACCACCCCGACAGCUGGCUGUACGUUCAUGAGAACUGCUCAGUCCCUUAUUGGUUCAGUGUCUACAAAUCAACAUGACAACACCGUGUACCUCUACAGACACAUCUAUUAGAAUGACAGAAAUCAAGAGCACUGCUGUCAGAUGCUGCCGGGAAUGUGAGGCCACAGGAACACACACUCCUGAUGGGAAAACUAAGUGUGUGGAAUGUGGAAGUCCAGACUCCUCUUGCCUUUGGAUCAAGAUGUAGAACUCUCGGCUCCUCCAGCACCAUGCCUGCCUGCACGCUGCUGUGUUUCCUGCCACGAUGAUAAUGGACUAAACCCCUGAAAUGCGUUGGACAGAGUAUUCUAUCAUCUAUUCUAAUCUUGACAAUUUAAACUCACAUGGGAGACUAUAACGCUCUAGUCUUCAACCCCAUCAGAGACCUGAGGAGGAAUAAAAUCACCGGAGCCUGCAGGACAUGCACCAAGCAGCUUCCAAAACUAUAGAGAUGACAGCAUUGGCUGCCUGGACAGUUCCCCAAGUCCUCUCUAUGUCACUGGAGCAUCAUCUUCAGCCUUCUAGUCUUGAAUAACGGACAGACUUUUUUUAUGAAGCAGAAAUUAUGAAGGACUUGCCUAUCUUGUCCUUGCAACGUUCAGCAGACGACUUCCCUGUCUUGUCUGUCUAGUUUGGACAGCAUUCAGGUCACCGAUGCUCAUCAUCGUUUUUGAAGUGGAAUGGGGGUGCUGCCAGGAGCAGGCAUGCCUUGCUGUCAAAGCAGGCUUUAUUUUAAUAAAAAAUAUCUUUAAAUGUCA